rnacentral:rRNA from 1 species
UACGUAGGGUGCGAGCGUUAAUCGGAAUUACUGGGCGUAAAGCGUGCGCAGGCGGUUUUGUAAGCCAGAUGUGAAAUCCCCGGGCUUAACCUGGGAAUGGCAUUUGGGACUGCAAGGCUGGAGUGCGGCAGAGGAGACUGGAAUUCCCGGUGUAGCAGUGAAAUGCGUAGAUAUCGGGAGGAAUACCGAUGGCGAAGGCAGGUCGUCUGGGCUGACACUGACGCUCAUGCACGAAAGCGUGGGGAGCAAACAGG